rnacentral:tRNA from 1 species
GUUUUAAUAGUUUAAGAAAAAAUUUAGAUC